AGGCAGCGGCCGGCAGCGGCCACGUCUGUUUGCGCUGAGGAUUGCAGGGAUGGCAGUGUGGUUACAAGCUCGAAUUCUGCGCGUGGGCUGUCUGAGUUAAACCCUUGCCACGAUCCCUGAGCCUUGUGGGAUGGGCAGACAGCUGCACACAGCCCCCGUGGCUAGGCUUCUCGACCAAUUUCUGAACAGUCCACUCUGGAGGGGUCGGAUUGGCACAGGUGGGCCAGACCUGGCUCCUCGGUGUGUUCCCGUCAUUGAGGGACUAAGAGAAGGGACCUUGAUGGGAGAAGACGGCCUGGAGAUUGGACAAAUAUAGAUGACAGCCUGGGGUGGCCCUGACCCCAGCUGAAUCCCAGCGCUACAUUAUCACAAUCCUCUUCACAAACACUUCCCCUGCAGGCACAGAGCUUGGGCUGUUUCCCUUUGCUUGGGGUUAAUACAUGCCUGAUAAUCACUGCAGGACUAACAUCGAGUGCGUCUGUGGUGGAGUCCCCGCCUGCUCCAGACUCUGUGCUCAGAAUUAGACUCGGACAUGCAAGGGGCGAGAGCAGAGGCCCAGAAACAGUGAAGCUGUGUGCUCAGGUUGCUCAGCUGUCAUAUGUUCCAGGGAAGCAGGUUCUUGUUGGCGUCGAAGAUAUGAGACCCUCAGCCUAGCGUGAACACCAGCACAUAGAGGCACUCAAGAAACACAAUGAAAACGGGAAGCUUCAGGCCUCAAGGGCCUUGCAGACUCCCGAUGCUGCUCUCAGUUUCUGAAGCUGUCAGCCCCUCUUGCGCUGUGUGUCCUGCUCUGAAGCUUGUGGCUUGUUUGCGGCACUCUAGUUUACCGCUGGGAGCUCAAGUCCUAGGAAAGCCACACCGUCAAGAUUCCGUAAGGGCGAUGGACUAAGGAGAACCGCUGAAAUUACCAUGAGUUGGACUAUUGAUCCCGAGUCAAGUGAUCUUGGGGUCUCUUCAGCCUCAAUAGUCACUCUUGCAUCCCAUGCCUGUCAGAUGAAGCCUUUGGACUUCGCUGACUUAACAGCCGCUACCAACCCCAAAGCUGAGAAUGUUGUCAGAUGACGUCUGUGGCUCUAGCAGAGGCUUCGCGGCUGUCCUGAGGCCGCUUGCCUGCCGUUGCCACCAGCGUGUUUGAGACGUUUGGACUCGAGACUUCCUUUGUUUUGUUUUGUUUUACCCUUUGAUUUUAUACUUAUAAAAACUUCAUGUAACUGGCAGCACAUUGGGUCACAGUAUUCAGGACA